rnacentral:lncRNA from 1 species
CACACACACAGGAUCAUCACAACUAAAACACAACUUAGGUUUCUUUCUUCCUUCUUCGAUUUGAUUUCCUCUCUCUCUGUCUGAUCUGCGAGGCCGAACCUCUCUUUUCCUCUACGUGAAACCUCUCUUUCAGCCAUCCUUGUUCUUCUUCAGCCGUCGCGCAGCCGAAGCUCUCUCAGUCGUCGCGCCGUCGUCACGCAAGCAGGUUCGAUUCUGGCUUUCUUUUUUCUUUUUUUCUUUUUGUUUCUUUUCCCCCUUCGAUUCUCUGUCUGACCAUCUCUAUGUCCUCCAUCAGCAGUUCGUGCAGAUCAUCAUCCAUAUUUCUGGAGUAGGUUGCAGCUUCCAGCAGACGCACUCUUUUUUUUUCUCCCCUUGACGCAGCUGCGCACUCCUUCUCGUCACUUUUCCAUUGAAGGCUCUCUCUCUACCAAAGGUGAAUUUCUCACUCUUCUGUAAAUGCUUAAUCUUGAAUAUUGUUAUUUCCAAUCUCUGUUUGCAUUUUUAUUUACUUUUAUUGAGCGAUUUAUUCUCUGAAAAUUUCAAUCUUUGUUAGCGUUUUUGGCUGGAUUAUUUACUCAACCCAAAACUCAUAAAUUCAGAUUACUGUAUGCCUGUUAUUAUGUUGUUUUUAGAUCUUAAAAAUAAGAUAAGAAAAGUGGAAUUAGGGAAUUAUAUCAAACUUUCAUGACUGUA